rnacentral:tRNA from 1 species
GCGGGCAUGGUGUAGCAGCAGCACGAAACCCUUCCAAGGUUUGAGCAGGGGUGCAAAUCCCCUUGCCCGCUCCA